rnacentral:snRNA from 1 species
AUCGCUUCUCGGCCUUUUGGCUAAGAUCAAGUGAAGAAUCUCAAAGUUUAAAAGCAAUCUUUGAUAUGAACACUGGAAUAAAAGUGACAGUCAUCACUGUAUUCAAAUAUGUAUCAUUGAAAACUUA